rnacentral:rRNA from 1 species
UACGAAGGGGGCUAGCGUUGCUCGGAAUCACUGGGCGUAAAGGGUGCGUAGGCGGGUCUUAAGUCAGGGGUGAAAUCCUGGAGCUCAACUCCAGAACUGCCUUUGAUACUGAAGAUCUUGAGUUCGGGAGAGGUGAGUGGAACUGCGAGUGUAGUGGUGAAAUGCGUAGAUAUCCGGAGGAACACCAGUGGCGAAGGCGACUUUCUGGCCUGUUCUUGACGCUGAGGCGCGAAAGCUAGGGGAGCAACGGG